rnacentral:rRNA from 1 species
CCUACGGGCCGCACCAGUGGGGAAUAUUGGACAAUGGGCCACAAGCCUGAUCCAGCAAUUCUGUGUGCACGAUGAAGGUCUUCGGAUUGUAAAGUGCUUUCAGUUGGGAAGAAGAAAGUGACGGUACCAACAGAAGAAGCGACGGCUAAAUACGUGCCAGCAGCCGCGGUAAUACGUAUGUCGCAAGCGUUAUCCGGAUUUAUUGGGCGUAAAGCGCGUCUAGGCGGAAAAAUAAGUCUGAUGUUAAAAUGCGGGGCUCAACACCGUAUUGCGUUGGAAACUGUUUUUCUAGAGUACUGGAGAGGUGGGCGGAACUACAAGUGUAGAGGUGAAAUUCGUAGAUAUUUGUAGGAAUGCCGAUGGAGAAGUCAGCUCACUGGACAGAUACUGACGCUAAAGCGCGAAAGCGUGGGGAGCAAACAGGAUUAGAUACCCCGGU